CCGUUAAUUAUGUAAAAUGUUUUCAGUAAUACCAAAUCGUGGAAGCACAUGGAAAUACAUUUAUUUCAUGACUUAAAGGAGUCACCUGGACAAAAAAGGUCUAAGGCCUCGCACUUUACAUGCGUAAACAAACAACUAAAUAGGUACAUAACACUUAGCAUGUCUUGAGGCCUUAUACCUUUUUUGUCCAGGCCUUGGGUGAAUUAUGUUGCCUCUGCUGUACCUCUAGCCAUUGGACAAGGGCAAGGCUAGUGGUAAGAGCAGCUGACUGUCUCUUUACAGCUCACACUCUCAGUCACAGCGGAGGACAUGGACCUAACCGGAAUAGGUGACCAUAUUGCAGCUAAUGGCAGGGUCUGACUCUCUAUGUAGUGUUGAGAAGGGCUUCUACGAUGGUGUCUUCCUGGAGGAAGACGAUGACGUCAUCCUUCGUCAAACAUGUCCAUACAAAGACCAAUCAUUUCUGCCCUCUCUAUAGAUUAUGCUGAUGCCCCACCGUAAGAACCUGUAGCUCUUUACUGGUUCUGUGGGAGGUGACGUGGCCACAAAUCAGUGCCUGGGACACCUUACAGUGCUACCACUGUCUGAACAACAGCCAAAGGGUGGUCAAGACAUCUACUGCAACUUCAUCUUUAGUGUGUCUGCUCUGCUGCACCUGGGAGAUAAAGAUGGCUCUGGCUUGCUGAUGACAUCUGAUCUGAUCUGACUCCUUGCAAUUUGACUCCUGUAUUACUGACUAUAUUAAAUAAAAC
ensembl:lncRNA